UACGUAGGGUGCGAGCGUUGUCCGGAAUUAUUGGGCGUAAAGAGCUCGUAGGCGGUCUGUCGCGUCGGCUGUGAAAACCCGAGGCUCAACCUCGGGCCUGCAGUCGAUACGGGCAAACUAGAGUACUGCAGGGGAGACUGGAAUUCCUGGUGUAGCGGUGAAAUGCGCAGAUAUCAGGAGGAACACCGGUGGCGAAGGCGGGUCUCUGGGCUGAAACUGACGCUCAAGCACGAAAGCGUGGGGAGCAAACAGG
rnacentral:rRNA from 1 species